rnacentral:rRNA from 1 species
UCCCCUAUCCCGUGUCGUGCCUUCGCCACCAGCUNACACGACGUUCGUUAUUAGGUACGACGGCGGACGUAGUACUCUGUCGNGGUAGAGUACGCAGUGAGGUGCGAGACCGAAGGAACCUAUAGUAGAGGNUAAUAUAAGCAGAGUAGGACGAACCGGACCGGAACGGUNUACCUACUACCAUGUCGAAGUUGAGUUACGACGAAAGCGAAGCGGAACGACCGACNCACUGUACGGUAGGAAGGUGCGAGUGUGGUGGUGGGAAGGAAUAACUACACGACCGGAACGAGAUGUGUUCGUCCUCAAGAAUGUCGUUAGGCUCGCCGACGAACAACUACUGGGUUAGGGAGCACUGUUCGGUCGUAGGNGGGUCAUCCCGACUUACCAAACCGAUGCAAACUCCGAAUACCAAUGAGUACUAUCC